rnacentral:rRNA from 1 species
UUGUAAUUUGCAGAGGAUGCUUCGGGAGUGGCCCCCAUCUAAGUGCCCUGGAACGGGCCGUCAUAGAGGGUGAGAAUCCCGUCUGGGAUGGGGUGUCCACGCCCGUGUGAAGCUCCUUCGACGAGUCGAGUUGUUUGGGAAUGCAGCUCUAAAUGGGUGGUAAAUUUCAUCUAAAGCUAAAUACUGGCCGGAGACCGAUAGCGCACAAGUAGAGUGAUCGAAAGAUGAAAAGCACUUUGAAAAGAGAGUUAAACAGCACGUGAAAUUGUUGAAAGGGAAGCGCUUGCGACCAGACUCGCCCACGGGGUUCAGCCGGCAUUCGUGCCGGUGUACUUCCCCGCGGGCGGGCCAGCGUCGGUUUGGGCGGCCGGUCAAAGGCCCUCGGAAUGUAACGCCCCCCGGGGCGUCUUAUAGCCGAGGGUGCCAUGCGGCCAGCCCGGACCGAGGAACGCGCUUCGGCUCGGACGCUGGCAUAAUGGUCGUAAGCGACCCGU